UACGUAGGGUGCAAGCGUUGUCCGGAAUUAUUGGGCGUAAAGAGCUCGUAGGCGGUUUGUCGCGUCUGCUGUGAAAACCCGAGGCUCAACCUCGGGCCUGCAGUGGGUACGGGCAGACUAGAGUGCGGUAGGGGAGAUUGGAAUUCCUGGUGUAGCGGUGGAAUGCGCAGAUAAUCAGGAGGAACACCAAUGGCGAAGGCAGAUCUCUGGGCCGUAACUGACGCUGAGGAGCGAAAGCAUGGGGAGCGAACAGG
rnacentral:rRNA from 1 species